UGGGGAAUAUUGGGCAAUGGGCGCAAGCCUGACCCGGCGACGCCGCGUGGGUGAUGAAGGCCUUCGGGUCGUAAAGCCCUGUCAGGUGGAAAGAAUGGGCAGUGUGCAAAUAGCACAGUGCCGUGACGGUACCACCGAAGGAAGCACCGGCCAAUUCCGUGCCAGCAGCCGCGGUAAUACAGAGGGGGCAAGCGUUGUUCGGAAUUACUGGGCGUAAAGGGCGCGUAGGCGGCCUGUUAAGUCGAACGUGAAAUCCCUGGGCUCAACCCAGGAACUGCGUCCGAUACUGGCUGGCUUGAAUCCGGGAGAGGGAUGCGGAAUUCCAGGUGUAGCGGUGAAAUGCGUAGAUAUCUGGAGGAACACCGGUGGCGAAGGCGACAUCCUGGACCAAUUCUGACGCUGAGGAGCGAAAGCCAGGGGAGCAAACGGGAUUAGAUACCCCCGUAGUCCCUGAGCGGGCUGGCAAGGCGCAU
rnacentral:rRNA from 1 species